UACGGGGGGGGCAAGCGUUGUUCGGAAUUACAGGGCGUAAAGGGCGCGUAGGCGGCCAACUAAGUCGGACGUGAAAUCCCUCGGCUCAACCGGGGAACUGCGUCCGAUACUGGAUGGCUUGAAUCCGGGAGGGGGAUGCGGAAUUCCAGGUGUAGCGGUGAAAUGCGUAGAUAUCUGGAGGAACACCGGUGGCGAAGGCGGCAUCCUGGACCGGUAUUGACGCUGAGGAGCGAAAGCCAGGGGAGCAAACGGG
rnacentral:rRNA from 1 species